rnacentral:ncRNA from 1 species
AUAACGGCUUUGAAGGGAAGAAGUAGCCUAAGGAAAGCAGACAGAGAGUAGCCGGCUGGUGAGAGGCACAUGCAGAACUUAUGUGAAUACAUCCUGGAGCCUCGUACCGAAAAUUUCAGUAGGCUACGACGGAUUGGCACUCGUUAUCGUGCUCAAUGAGGCGGGAACUUUUCCUGCGAAUUUAGGUGGUAUCACGGGACCCGGUUCUCGUCCUAAAC